GCGGGGUAGCUCAGUUGGUUAGAGCGGUGGAAUCAUAAUCCAUGUGUCGAGGGUUCGAAUCCCCCCCUCGC
rnacentral:tRNA from 2 species